rnacentral:rRNA from 1 species
GAUGAACGCUGGCGGCGUGCCUAAUACAUGCAAGUCGAGCGAACGGACGAGAAGCUUGCUUCUCUGAUGUUAGCGGCGGACGGGUGAGUAACACGUGGAUAACCUACCUAUAAGACUGGGAUAACUUCGGGAAACCGGAGCUAAUACCGGAUGAUAUUUUGAACCGCAUGGUUCAAAAGUGAAAGACGGUCUUGCUGUCACUUAUAGAUGGUUCCGCGCUGCAUUAGCUAGUUGGUAAGGUAACGGCUUACCAAGGCAACGAUGCAUAGCCGACCUGAGAGGGUGAUCGGCCACACUGGAACUGAGACACGGUCCAGACUCCUACGGGAGGCAGCAGUAGGGAAUCUUCCGCAAUGGGCGAAAGCAUGACGGAGCAACGCCGCGUGAGUGAUGAAGGUCUUCGGAUCGUAAAACUCUGUUAUUAGGGAAGAACAUAUGUGUAAGUAACUGUGCACAUCUUGACGGUACCUAAUCAGAAAGCCACGGCUAACUACGUG